rnacentral:lncRNA from 1 species
CCAUAAAAACCAAAUCAAAGCCCAAACCUAACCUCAAACCCAAAACAAAUCAAAAUUCCAGUUUAACCCAAUUCAAAUCAUGCACAACCUAAUCCAACCUCGUCUCCAUACCAAGUCCUUAAAAAUUCUCUAGCAUAUAAAACUAGAGUCAAAUCACAACCAUAUUCAAACUCGAUCAAACUCUAAAUAUAUGUUUAGAAUUGAUCAAACCG